rnacentral:tRNA from 1 species
GGGAGAAGAAAUACCUGGUCACGUUGUUCGCAACCUGCAAAGCCGUCGCGGUCUUGAAAACCGUCGUGGCGCAAGCCACCGUGGGUUCAAAUCCCACACCCA